rfam:Deinococcus puniceus strain DY1, complete genome.
UGGCUGUUCCGGAGCGAUGAAUCACCUGGCCUAUACGGGCGCCUGUCAGGUGUGGAGCGAGUGGCGCGACCGACAGAACUGUGG